GAAAAAAAGGGGAACUCAUCUUGAAGUGGCAUCUUUAAAGAGACUCUCAAGGAGUUAAAGAUACCAAGAGGACCAGAAGCUGAUGCCAAGAAUCCAUGGAAUGAUGUCCACAGAGCAUAAUGGCACAAUUGUCUUAUAGAACAAGAUUGAAAAGAGCUGGAGGACGGGAAAGGGUGUGGCGUCUAUAAAAAUGAAAAACGUUAUUCAUGGAUUCAAAUUUAUGCCUAAAAUGAAUUAGAUGCAAUAUUUCAUUCUCAGAUUUCAGGCAAAAGUUAGAAACUAGUUAAAUAGUGACAGGAUUUUCAGAGAAAUCUGGCAAAAUCUCUGGGAUUUUUCUUCUCAUCCACCUCAAGUAUUCUUAGCAGGAGUCCUUUAUUCUUCUCUUGGAGGUGAAAGAAAAAACACACUUGUUAUCAAAGCAACAAAUCUGCAAAAUCCCCUUCCAUUGUCCUUUUUAGGACAUCAUGAGGCUAGUCUUCUCAUUCCCCUGAAAACCUGUCACUUCCCACACUCAUCUGGAAGGCCUUGUUGGACUCUAUUACCAUGAAACACAUACCAUGGAUAACAAGAGAAAACAAACACCUGUCCAAAUGACAGUCUACAGCGUGGGUUUUGUCUUCUCAUCAGAUGGACUCCAUGGUCAUCGUGCUCCCCCAGCUACUAUUAAAUCUCUCGUUGUAGAUUUGUGAGCAUCACAGGCCAGCAAGUGGCUCUAGCAUUAACAUUCUGCAACACUAAAGUCCCACCUUCAAGCUGACACAGACUGUCCCAAUAGCAGGCAGGCCAGGAGAGGUCUUGCCUCUCUUCAUGUUUCAGAUUAUGACAAACUAGGCAAUGGAACUAUGUCUGGAGCCUGCUUCUCCCAAACACUCCUCACGAACGUCCUUACAACAGAUUUUCCAGGAACAAAGCCAAAGAAAAAGGGAUUCCCUGAGCUCUGAGGGAAGAUGGAUUUGAUGAAGAUCUCCAAUUUAUACUCUGUCUCCACAUAAUGUCUGGCUGUGGGUCUCUGCAUCUGUUUCCAUCAGCUGCUGGAGGAAGUCUCUCUGAUGAUGACUGGAUAAAGUACUGAUGAGUACGGCAGAAUAUCAUUAGGAAGCAUUGUAUUGAUUUUUCUUAAACCAAUCAUGUUUUGUUUUACACAGGACUCUGGACUAUCUAGCCCCAGCUUCUCGGUUACCUAAGCAGUGUUGAGUAUGGGUUCCUUCUCAUUGGAUGAGUCUUAAGUCAAGUCAGCUUUUGGUUGGCUACUCAUAUAAGUUCCACUCUACCAUUGCCCUAACAUAUUUUGCAGGAGGAUAGAGCAAAGGUUUUGUGGCUGGAUUGGUUCCCAUGUUUCUCUUCUGGUAGCCUUCAGUGUACCUUCCCACACCAAAGAGACUAGAGACAUAGGAGUGAAGGCUCCAUGUAGGCACCAGCUCAACUUCUCCAUGUUCAAUGAGUUGUGUGGAUGUUGCCCUUGGCAACAGAGCAUCUGUAUCAAUUUUCAAAGAGCAAACCUUUGUUUUAGCAUCAGCCUGAUAUUUUAGGGAUUUCCAUGGGACUCCCUUGGCCAAAACUCAAUUGAAUGCAAAUCAGUCUCUCCCCUGGAAUACCACUAGCCACUCUAGCCCCCCAAGCCCCCAUUCUACCUGCAAAAUAUAUUCUAUUUCCGUUUCCCAGGGAGAUCCAUGUAUCCUCCCAGACCCCUCUUCUUUACCUAAUCUCUCUGAGUCUAUGGAGUGUAGCUUGGUUAUCAUAUACUUAAUAGCUAAUAUCAACUUAUAAGUUGACAUAUACCAUAUUUAUCUGGGUAUGAGGUGCACUCAGGAAUUUUUUUUUUCUAGUUCCAUCCAUUUGCUUGUAUAUUUCAUGGUGUCUUUUUUUUUUUUUAAAGAGCCAAGAAAUACUCCAUUGUGUAAAUGUACCACAUUUUAUUUUUCCAUUCUUCUAUUGAGAGACAUCUAGGUUGUUUAAGAUUUCUAGCUAGUAUAAAUAAAAAUGCGUUGCUGUCUUCAAUUUUUUUCUUCAAAGACUUGACAGUUUUAGUCAUUCAAGUUUUUCACUUACUUGGUUGGAGUUACACCAUGACAUUUUGUAUUAUUUGAGGCUAUGGUGAAAAGUGUUGUUUCCCUAAUUUCUUUCUCAGAGUGUUUGCCAUUUUUUUUUUUAGUUAAUCUUGUAUCCAGCCACUUUGCUGAAACUGUUUAUCAGCUUAGGAGUUCUCUAGUGGAAUUUUAACGAUAAGUAUGUAUACUAUCAUAUCAUCUGCAAUAAUGAUACUUUGAUGUCUUUCUUUCCAAUUUUCUUCAUCUCCUUCAAUUAUCUAAUUGCUCUAUCCAAAAAUUCAACUACUAUACUAAAUAGAUAUGGAGAGAGUAGGCAGCCUUGUCUUAUUUCUGAUUUUAGUAGAAUUGCUUUGCAUUUCUCUCAAUUUAAUUUGAUGUUGGUUGGUUAUGGGCUUGCUGGAAAUUGGCUUUAUUGUGUUUAAGUAUGUGCCUUGUAUCCUUGAACUCUCCAGGACUUUAAUCAUGAAGUAUGUCGGAUGUUUUUCAAAGGUCUUUUGUGUAUCUAAUGAGAUGAUCAUUUUUUUUUCCUUUCAGUUUAUUUAUAUGGUAGAUCACAUGUAUUGAUUAUAUAUAUACAUACAUAUAUUAUAUAUAUCAAACCAUCCCUGUAUGUUUGGGAAGAAUCCUACUUGAUCAUGGUGGAUGAUCUUUUUUGGGUGUGUUCUUAAGAUCAUCAGUUAAUAGCUCUUAGAUACAUUUAUUUAGUAUGUUUUUAUUAUUUGUAAUUUAUUUUUUAUUUUUUAUACUGGUUAUAAGGACUUUAUUUACAAUAUUUAACCUAAGAAUGUUCAAGUUUAUUUGGAAUAAUUUUUGUUUAUCUUGGAUAUAUUUUGAUUUUAGUAAAACAUUUUAUGUUUUUUUUUGUUUUUUCUUUUUUUUAAUUAGAUAUUUUCUUUAUUUACAUUUCAAAUCUUAUCUCCUUUCCUGGUUUCCCCUCUGAAAACUCCCUACUCCCUCCCCCCUCCCCCUGCUCAGCAACUAACCCACUCCUGCUUCCCUGUCCUGGCAUUCCCCCACACUGGGGCAUAGAGCCUUCACAGGACCAAGGACUUCUCCUCCCAUUGAUAUCUGAUAAGGCCAUCCUCUGCUAUAUAUGAAGCUGGAGCCAUGGGUCCCUCCAUGUGUACUUUUUGGAUACAGAUAUGUGGUACAUUUAUACAAUGGAGAACUAAUCAAUUACUUAAAACAAUGAAAUUCUUAGGCAAAUGGAUUAAUUUAUUUCAAUGUCUUUUAAAAUUACUUCUUCAUUUAUACUUUUUUGCAUUUGUUUUGUUGCCCUGUCUUGGCUCUUUGAAAUAACUACUUAGUUUUUUUUUGUUGUUGUUGUUUUUUUUUCCAUUUCCUUAUGUUCUGAAUUUGCCUCUGACAAGUAUUCUUGCUGGCUGUCUCUCACUGGUAACGACAUUGGGUUCCCAUUGUUGUUCUUUUCUAAAUACUCAGGCUUUCAGAUUUGUCCCAAGAGCCAUCUGUUAAUGGCUGCUUUAUAACCAUUUGGUUUUUUCCAGUUUACAGUGUUGAAAUUAAUGUCUAGUUGCAAUGACCUGCGGUCAAAGGCUGUGCUUCACCUAAUCAAUUUUAUUAUUUUUUUCCCAUGGAUCUUUAAGAUAGAAGUAGUAUUUUCUUUCUUUCUUCCUUUCUUCCUUUCUUCCUUUCUUCCUUUCUUCCUUUCUUCCUUCCUUUCUUUUUUGGGUUUUUCAAGAUAGGGUUUCUCUGUGUAGCCCUGGCUGUCCUGGAACUCAGUAUAUAGACUGGGCCUGACCUUGAACUCAGAAAUCCACCUGUCUCUGCCUCCCAAGUGCUGGGAUUGAAGGCCUACGCCACCACUACCCGGCUGAAGUAGUAUUUUCUAUUUAGCUAAUAUUACAUCCCAUUUUUAGUCACAAAUUAGUUUUUAAAACUAUGCUGCUACUACUUCAGUAUUGUAACUUUUGGUUAAUAUGUCAAGAAGUAGAGCCAUACCAUGUCCCUCAUGGUUUUUGUGUUGUAGGAUUUUUUUAUGCUUCAUAUAUAUUCAAACAUAGUCAUGUGACUGAUGUCUUCAUUGAUUUGUCACUUAUUAAUACAAAGUUGACAUUUGUUAUAAAAUAAUCCAUUUAAUGUAGUUUUUUGCCUUGAAUCAUGUAGUCACUGGAUUCUUUUGCUAUUUAAAAUUUUUUUUUCCUGAUAGAGUUCCACUUAUGUGUAAGGCCACAUUGUUGGACAUUAGCUUAACUAUAAAUCAAUGGGCAUAAGUUAAUGGUAACAAAUUUUCUUUUUUUUUUUUUUUGCCUUAACAUUGUGUUACUCUACAUACAUACUUUGCAUUUUGAAAGUGUUAUAAAAUGUAUAUGUCCAUUCCAUAUCAUAUCAAAAUACAAUUUUCUCUUAAUCACAUUUCUCAUCCCUGUGACAGAAUACCCAGAAAAGGAAGGCAUGUUUGAGUUAAUUUUAUAUCCAGCUACUUCACUGAAGCUAUUUAUCAGGUUUAGGAGUUCUCUGGUGGAAAUUUAAGGGUCACUUAUAUAUACUAUCAUAUCAUCUGCAAAAAGUGAUAUUUUGACUUCUUC
rnacentral:lncRNA from 1 species